UACGGGGGGGGCAAGCGUUGUUCGGAAUUACUGGGCGUAAAGGGCGCGUAGGCGGUUUGCUAAGUUGGAUGUGAAAACUCUGGGCUUAACCCAGAGCCUGCAUCCAAAACUGGCAAACUUGAGUACUGGAGGGGAAAGCGGAAUUCCUGGUGUAGCGGUGAAUGCGUAGAUAUCAGGAGGAACACCGGUGGCGAAGGCGGCUUUCUGGA
rnacentral:rRNA from 1 species